AGCUGGCUCCCCUGGAAAAGGUACGAAUUGAGAUUAGCAGAAAAGCUGAGAAGAGGACCACUUUGGUGCUAUGGGGUGGCCUUGCCUACAUGGCCACACAGUUUGGCAUUUUGGCCCGGCUUACCUGGUGGGAAUAUUCCUGGGACAUCAUGGAGCCAGUAACAUACUUCAUCACUUAUGGAAGUGCCAUGGCAAUGUAUGCAUAUUUUGUAAUGACACGCCAGGAGUAUGUUUAUCCAGAAGCCAGAGACAGACAAUACUUAUUAUUUUUCCAUAAAGGAGCCAAAAAGUCACGUUUUGACCUAGAGAAAUACAAUCAACUCAAGGAUGCAAUUGCUCAGGCAGAAAUGGACCUUAAGAGACUGAGAGACCCAUUACAAGUACAUCUGCCUCUCCGACAAAUUGGUGAAAAAGAUUGAUCUGCAAAAAGCCUCUGAAUCCUGGCAGAAGGAACACCUGUUUGCCUUUUUAAUUAAAGCAUUGCAGGUGGAAGCUGGGAGCCAUGUGGGGGGUUUAAUUAUAAAACAAAAACAGAAAGGAUCUGAGGGAAGAAGGGAAUGUUAAAAACUGAGGAUCAGGCAUUGUGGAAUAUAAGCUCAAAGGGCUUAGUGAAUAUUGUCUUAACCAAGUAUCUCAGUUUCUGGAUGAAAAUGAUGCAGUUAUAUAGUUGAGAGAUUCAUAAAGAGAAAACAAUUCUGGGGGUGUUCGUUUCUUGCAUCUUCUUUGCAGAGUCAGCAAAAGAGUAACACACCAGCACCCCACUCGACUCUAUUUGUUUUUAAUUUAACUGUCCCUAUUUUUGACAUAGGAUUAAAUAAAUAUACCAGAAAAGCAAAUUCUCAUGAUAUGCUAAAAUAUCAUUAGCAUUUAUUUUAAAUUGGACCCAGUCUCUGCAGAGUUACCAGGAAUCUCUCCCUCCUGCAUUCCUUUACUGACCACCUACCUGUACCUCUUGGCUACACUCAUUUUUUCCAUUUGAUAAUUGGAACCAACUUACAACUGUUUAAUAAUUGAUACUUUAGAUUAUCUCUUAAUACCUUCUUAAAUGUCUAUAUAUCCCAGUGCUCUGGAUCAGUGUCUAAAAAUCAUUGGCAACGCUGCAUGAGGUUGUUGGUUUUGUUUUGUUUUGUUUUAUUAAUUAGUCUUUCAUAGGAGGAAAAAUUGCCCUCCUUUAUAUACUUAUCUAUUGAUAAUCCCCUCUCCCUCCACAACACAAAUCAGAGGGAAGGGGGGUGUUCAGCUGUACUACCAAAUCAGGAAGAUGUAAGGUUUACAAAUUGGCUAAAAAUCAUGGCUCUGUAGCCAUUUCAACCAGAAUAAUUUUAUUGCUAAUCUGCUUUGUGUGACAGCAUUCCAGGCCAGCCAGAUGGCACUGCCUUGUCUGGAGGCUUUGUUCAUCUCGAAGGACACACACUUCCACACUGUUUGUGAGCCCUCCCACCUCCACAACUUCAGUUGUAAAUCCAGUGUGUGGAUCUCAAAGGGUGCAAUUUAUCUUUAUAUAGGAAUACAUUUCUAGGGCCUCCUUCAGCCCACUCUCUUCACCCUAUUUUUUCUUAUCUUAAAUUGAGAGAAAGAGAAUUAAUCUUACACUUUGUCAAAACAUUUUCUACCAUAUUUCCAGAUGACAUCUGCGCUUGAAGAGUCAAAGGAAUCUGUGUCUAAUACCCUGUUUUUAACUGCUGUAGGGGCAGGAUGGAAAGGAUGAUGGGGGCUGCCACACCACUGAUUGGCCUUUUCUUUCACGUGAUUCAUCCUUCCUCAUUGUGGCAAGGACUUUUUCUCUUUUUCUUCCUCCUUUGGGAUCAUUGUGUAUGAAAAGAAAAACUUUAAAUGACAAACCCAGACUCCAGGUGCCUUGCAAAGGUUGAAGGCCAGCCAGGAUUGCUGCUGCUGCUACUCCUGCCACCACCCCUUUCAUUGGCAUGAUGGAAUGAAAGGAUGCAUGUCUCCACUUCCUGACCCUCCGCCCACUUCCUUCUCCCUCCACCACCCUCAGUCGUCAGCUCCUUCCCUCAUUUAUUUUUGUUAAGUUGUGUGAAUUAUUUUUAAACCAUUUAUCCUGUUUAUGCAUAGGGUUUUUAAGAAGAAACAGCAGAGUGCAAUGAGCAAAUCUUUUCGGGGUGUGUGGGAAGCAAGGGAGGGAGGACAUGGAGAAAAGUUCUUUAAACAAAUAGCAAACUAUUGAACAUGUGUAAAAUCCUGUAUCAUUUAUGAAAUAUGUAUAAAAAGCAAUGUACCUUCUGGAACAAUAAAUACUUAUUCAAUUUUU
rnacentral:sRNA from 1 species